rnacentral:lncRNA from 1 species
AGUUUCCUUCCCAAACUGUUGGCCUAUUAAGAAAAUGAAUGGCCAUUUUGCACUGCACACUCAUUUGAAUUACAUAGUCUUUGUACAACCUGGUGGUUAUUUUAUUCAUAUAAUUAUUCAUGUGCUUUUCUUAAGGCGCCUUUGUCUCACUGUGAUAAAAUAUAAAAUUUUGUGCAGUAAUUGCAUGGAGUCACCCACAAUGGGUGGUGCAGUUUGCUGCUUUUGCUGUUGCUAAAGAAUGAAAGGCACAAAUCAAGCUGCCAACCAUAAGUGAGCAAAAGAAGGUUAACAGAGCAAAACAGCAAUUAGCAGAAAAUGAACACAAAUAAGCCUUCCUUCAUCACAGAGGCCCUGGGGCGCACCCUCACUCUCUGCCUGCAAUAGCCAGCAACAGGAAACCAGGCCAGAAGUCCCUACUGUGGCCAAGACUUCUCUUAUAGUUCAUUAGUGAAAAAGAGUUCUAUACGUGAGUAGUAGGGUACAUACAUUCAGGCAAUAUACCCCCCUCCUCCCACAAUAUCACCUCUGUGAUCGAAUCUCUUCAUAGAAAGUGCUAAUAUUCCUCUGUGACAGAUAGUCUCUUCACACAGUGCUAAUAAAGAUAAUAUAAGACCAUGGAUAAAGGCUUAGACUUUUUUAUACACACAUUAAAAACAAAGGAUUAAAGUUAGGAAUGCAAUAAUAUAAACCAAUAUGUAUAAACAAUAUUGUGAGUUUUUGUUUUGUUUGUUUGCUUGCUUAGUUGGUUGGUUGGUUUGGUUUUUCAAGACAUGGUUUCUCUGUGUAGCCCUAGCUGUCCUGGAACUCAUUCUGUAGGCCAAGCUGGCCUCAAACUCAGAGAUCUGCCUGCCUCUGCCUCCCAAGAGCUGGGAUUAAAGGUGUGCCCCACUACUGACUGCCUAUGGUGUAGUUUUAAUAUGCAUUUAAUAUUGAAAUAUGUUCUAAGUCUUUGGAACAUGAGUGUCUUUUAACUCUUUUCAAUUUAGACUUUCUUCCUUGCCAGUGCUCAGCAGCAAAGUGUGGCCAGUGGCUAGUUAUCUGCACUUAUCUCCUCCACUCUCUUCUCUUUUCUUUUCCUUUUAGACACAGGAUCAUGUGGAGGAGAGGCUAGCCUUAAAUUUGCUAUUUAGAUGAAAAUGAUGUUAAACCCUUACUCCUCUUGCCUCCAUCUCUGGAGUUUUAGCUGUAUAGACAUGACCCACCAAGUCCAGUUUAUGUGCUGUUGGUGUUGAAUCUAGGGUUUCAUGCAUGCUAGGCAAGAGCUGAGUCACAUCCAUAGCUGGCACUGUGAAGUUCUUCUGCCGCCCGCCCCCUCUCCCCCCGCCCCGCACCUUUCUAUCUAGAGUUUGGUGUGUUUUUUAAAACACUUAUUAGAUUUUAAAUUAAUUCAUAAUUCUUAUUAAUAUCACAAUGGAGACUGAAAUGUCUCUGGUUUGUAAGCUGUUUUUUAAAUUAAUGGGUUUUUAAAUGUCACUAAAAAAUAUCUGUCAUUUUACUCAGAUUCUAGGACCACGGGGAAAGAAGACAGUUUUUAGCUUAUUAAAUUUGCUUCUAAAUACCUCAGUGUUCAACUGAAGUGCUCAUUUAGGGUAUAUUAUAAUUUCAUACAUAAGAUAACUACAUUGACUGUUAUUUUAGACACCCAAAUGUUUUUAAAUCAUGAAAGGGGUAUUCAUGCUGAUGUUAGCAGGCUGUCAGCAAACCGAAGGCUCAUUCAGAAAAUGUCUAGGUUCCUUUCACAGCCUGCAGUGCUUCUGUGAAAGAAUCUAUUCACUCUACAUGUUUGCCUGUCAUCAGUGGAAUUUUUUAGCCAUUCCUAGGGAAGAUAAUACUCAAUUAUUUUCCAGAGGUACAAUCUAUAUUCCAUUUCUAAUCUGUAAGCUUUUUCUUAGGAAAAAAAAAAAACAACAACAACAACCAAACUUCUAGGUGCUUACUAUAGCUGAAGAAUAUAGGCGUUUUUCCCUCUGCUUAAUUAUUUUUACCAUAAUGAUCUAAAUUAAUCUAUGUGAAAAGUAUAAAUAUCAAAACAGGAAAGACAAGAGGAUGCUAAUCUUUGUGCAAGUAAUAAUAUUCAAGGGUCUGAGCAGCAUCAGGGACACACUCUUAAUUAUGUAUUUCUGCUUCUUGAGAAUUAGCAUUAAUGUUUAAAUGAAGAAAUAAUUAUACUUUAUAGAAUAAAUAUAUAGGACAUUUGAUGUGUCAAAUAUCCACAUGUAACCCCAUAGGAAGAACAGCAAUAUCAACCAACCAGAACCCAAGAGCUCUCAGGGACUAAACCACCAACCAAAGAGUACAUAAGGAGUGACCCAUGGCUCCAGUCACAUAUGUAGCAGAGGAUGGCCUUUUGUGGCACCAAUGAGAGGGGAGGCCCUUGGUCUUGUGAAGGCCAGGACAGAGAGGUGGGAGUGGGUGGGUGAGUAGGAGAACACCCUCAUAGAAGCAGGGGAUAGGGGAUUUCUAGAGGUGGGGACCAGGAAAGGGGAUAACAUUUGAAAUGUAAAUAAAUAAAAUAUC